GCCUUUCGAGGGGAUGGAGUUCCCCUGACAAAUGCCCGGCAAGGGCUGAUGACUCCUGCGAUGCG
rnacentral:ncRNA from 1 species